UACAGAGGUCUCAAGCGUUGUUCGGAUUCAUUGGGCGUAAAGGGUGCGUAGGCGGUGCGGUAAGUCGGGUGUGAAAUUUCGAGGCUUAACUUCGAAACUGCAUUCGAUACUGCCGUGCUUGAGGACUGGAGAGGAGACUGGAAUUUACGGUGUAGCGGUGAAAUGCGUAGAUAUCGUAAGGAAGACCAGUGGCGAAGGCGGGUCUCUGGACAGUUCCUGACGCUGAGGCACGAAGGCCAGGGGAGCAAACGGG
rnacentral:rRNA from 1 species